CCCAUACAUUUCAAAUGAAAUUGCACAAUUGAAUACAACACGAGAAAAAUUGAAAUAAUUUGUACAUGGGUUGACUAAGGAUGGUGUAACAGUGAUUAAGAUUUCGUUUUGGAGUACUGCUUGGUUUAAUCUGCAUUUUCUUUAUUCAUGGUAGUGAACUGAUCACGCGCAUAAAUAUGUAUAUAGUCAAAUAUCCUCCUGACCAAGUCCUUUUGUAAAUUACUUAGCAUGUGUUUAUUUAAAAGAUAAGACUUUGACAAUACAUAUUUGGCAGUAAGAUAUUAUAAAUUUUGUUAUAAUGUUAAUUAAAAAAGCUGUUGUUUGUGUCUAUAAAUACAGAGAUCGGAAGGCAUAGAUGUAUGCAGUAAUAAUUUAAUUUGGCGAUGACCAUGAAGAAGGGUACUAUUGUUGUUAUUACAUUCUUUCUUUUGGUUUGUGUUAUGUUUCUUCCCACCUCAACUUUUGGUCGAUCUGGACCACCCAGUGGAGGAAGCACACCACCUCCGAUUGCUAGAUGCGGCCCUUAUACAGGUAUGUGUGUUCGUCCUGGUCACACACCACUGAAACCCGGUGGUCCCGGAGGUCCCGGUGUGUCCAAAACAAAAACAUAAUUUGCCAAUGACCACAAAAUUCCAUGAAUAAAUAUAUUCUCUUAUUGGUGUGGAUUACUGUUUACGGUUUACGGUUUAUUGUUAUCAUUUUCCAGAAUGUAUUUCUUUAAAAUCCUAAAGUGUACUUUCGCUGAGAUCCUAUACAUAUUUUCUAGCUAGUUUAGGAGGUGAAAAAUAGUUAAACGUGUGCCUUUGUAAACUCAUCCUAAUAAAUAAAAACAUACAGCUUCAUUAUUAUUAUUAUUAUUAU